GGCGCCGCAGAGCUGGAAUGAAAUUGUACGAUCAGCAUAUGACAGUUGGAAAAAGAAAUCAAGGAAGAUGUCUUCGUAAUCAACAGAAGCGGAAUAUGUUGCGUUAAGCCAAUCAUCCUGCGAAGCAAUGUGGUUAAAAAAUCUGCUUACCGAAUUUGGCGUGCAUUUUAAUACUCCGUUAAUUAUAUACCCCAUCAGAUACAACUUCAUACGAGAAUGUAUCCAGACCGUAAGAAUUCAACUGAAGUAUAUUCCAAGCGAAAACCAACUUGCGGAUAUGUUUACGAAAGGGUUUUCUUCAGCAGUUUUUACGAAACAUCGAUUUGCGAUAGGUCUAAGAGGGGGUGUUGGAAAAACAAAGUAGACCAUAGCAUAUACGACGGGUAUAAAAGAAGCAGCUAGCUUCAGUUAUGUUGUAGAUUAGUAUAAUAAACUGUAGAGACACAUUCUAAACUCAUUAGUGUGCGUGUGACGAAAAAUGAUGGAGGAAUUAGGGGGUAAGCGGGGUCUGAAGUCUUUCGUUCGUCACACAUACAUGCAUCUACCAGCGGAUUGCGCUGGACCGAGUCUACCCAUCUCUCUCGAUCAACCAUGAUUUUUCUGCUAUCGCUCUCAUCCGAGUGUGAGGCAUCCUCAGUCUGUCCAGAACUUUCCCUGUGGAAGGAUGUACUGAAGUGAGGUGCGAUUUCUUUUGCGACGUACUUUGCUCGUCUACGUUUUGGGCCGUGUUCCUUCUUCUUCAGUUAUGGAAUGAUUUAUCCUAGCAAAUUGUUGAGUUACAGGUCUGUGCGCUAUUUAUCAAAUACUACAUGCUGGCCUCGUCAACAAUGUUCAAAGUGAGCGAUGGAAAGAAAACGUUUUCCAGUUUUAAAACAUUAUGCGUUCAGCACAAUACUGCCACAAACCAACGCCAAGAACCUGUCGAAACGCGCGCAGCCCCCGGUGAGAACGUCAUUACUUAACAGAAGCCGGUUCAACACGCGCAGCGCCUGUUCAUGACGUCAUUAUUAAACUGAAGCCAGCUGAACACGCGCAGCACGGAUGGUACCCCGGGCGCGGUAGGAGGAAGGAAAAACGAGUGGAGGAAGAACGAGAGGAGGAAGAACGGUAAAUUUGGAAGGGGGAAAGCGUUCUGCCGUCUACACAGCGGGAGUAUGCAAAACACAUGUGGGAAGGGAGAGUGAUAUUAUUAAGCGAAAGGCCACGGGAGUGACAAAAUGCUGACAAAUUUUUCAAAAUGUGAGCUUUUGUAACUUUUUUGAGCUUUUGUCAAAAUGUUGUGACCUGGAGCAGCCAGGAAAAAAAGUUGACAAAAGUUGACAAAAUUUGACGUUCGUGAAAAAGCGUUAACAAACAGCUAUUUGGCGCAGUUGUGACCCAUUGUUAUGAUAAUAAUGCUAAAAUGCAUGAUUCUAAUUGAUUUAUGUACCUAGUUAGUGCUUCUUAAACAAAAUAUCGAAGAUAUUCAGAUGUUAUAGCUUUUUAUCGCUCUUGUGUAUGUUUUUGUUGCGGCCACGAGAAAAGCUCUUUUUUGCAGUUGACAAGCAAUUUUGACAAAGUUGAAAAUUUUUUCAACAUUUUUUCAGCUCCGUGGCCACGCGCUAAUUCAAUAAAUAGCAUGCAUGUGUGUGUAAAGCAAAUGUGAACAGCAUCAUCAUUUCUAUAAGCAAUCCGAAAAAGGGAGUGGAGCAAACACAUUGGUAUGCGUGAGCGGCUGAAGAAACCAGAACGUUUAGAUGUGUGCUUGACGGAUGGUUCGGGCGCCUGUGGCGAAGCUCUCGACAAGACUGUAAACGAGAGCUUCGUGGAGAGUUUUGUAGAGAGCUCAGAUUACACAGGCCGCCGUCGGGUUUUUGCGUCCUUGGGACCCACUGUUUUGUUGGUUUGAGGCUGUGAACGAAAUAAUAACAGAGAGCGUUAAUCAUCCUUGAUAAUCUGAAGUGUUCUUGCAAAGUGAAAUCGAAAGUGUUAAUCUUAAAUUAGACCAUAUCGCAAAAAUUGCAUGUGCUAAAAUGGAGCUAAAUACUUAUCCUGUAAGUAUCUACACAAGUAAGCACGAGUGUUUAAAAUAGACAUUUUGUUAGCGCCUAGAUGUAUGCAGGAAGGUUAAUAGCAUAAAAGUAGCCAUAAUCUAAGGAACGAUUAGAGUAAGUGUUAGUGAGAACGCGUACGUAUAUAGGAACAGAAAAAUGCAUGAACGAUAAAUAUUAGAGUCUAAGUUGAACCACCGUGUAGAACACAUCGUUUUAAUUGAGCUAUUGAACACAUUUUAUUAAUAAUUUUCGUUUUUGUUUAUAGCAUUACAACAACCAUCCACACUGAAAUCCGUUGAAAUGGUAAAAUCGACCAUAACACGUUCUCAACAAAGUGCGAAAUUUCUUCCUGUGCGAGUACUGUCAACAGGAGCGACCGGAUUACGUGUAAUGUUUUCUCACCCAGCGACACCGUUGUUAUCCCAAGAAGUUGGAUCAUCUAUACAGACAAGUGCGCGGCUUUCUCCAGUACGGGUUUUGUCAAUGGUCAACGAUUCCACCUCCGCCAGCACCUUCGUCAUCCGGAGGAGCUGGACCAUCGAUAACAAAAGCUGUGCCGUUUUCGCCCAUACGUGUUCUGUCCACAGUGACGAUUCCUCCCCCGCCAGCACCUGAAAUCGAAUACAUUACAUCGCCUCCACCAUUGUUUUCUCCGUCACUUCCAAUGCCGUCGAGGCCAGCAGGAUCAUCACCUAAAAAACCUGCGCAACAUACUGCAACAAUUACUGUUUCAUCUGGUACAACAUAUGCAUCAGAGAAUACUGAUCUAUUUCCUGCAGCAAACACACCGAUUCAGAAAACUACUCAAAAAAUAGAAAGAGCUUCCUCAAUUCGAUCCGUAAACCAACCAACCAAAACCAAAAAUGUUGCUGGACGAUCUAACAAGCAACGUGCCAAACGGUCACUAAGUGAAAUCGAAGAUGUUACAAAGACAUCAUUAUAUUGCUCGUCACUUCCAUUAUUUGCAUUAAAAGAUCUCGGUCCACCACCAAUGACUAAUGUCCAUUCUUUUAUGAGCAACAAUAUCAAACCAGUUGCUGUUCAAAGAACAAAUGCUGCUCCUACAUACGUCCAUAGCAUGGAUUGGUGUUACGUGAAGUGCGUGCCUUGCGACAAAGGUUUGAACAAGCAGUUCAAUCGGAGUGCAUCCGACCACCUAUACAGACAAAUUCAGUUCCGAGAAAUUUUCGAUUCAAUCCACUCAAUAGCAGAAAAAAACUGGAAGAAUUUGACGUUCGUCUAGGGCAGCGGUCGGCAAACUUUUGAGGCAAAGGGCCAAAUUUAGUAAAUGAUUUAAAGCCGCGGGCCAGGAGAAUGUGGUUUUUAUAUGAUUGUGCAUUAAAUAUUACAUUAUAAAAUUUUAGAAACAAAAUAAUUGGUUAAUAAUGUUAAACAAUGCAAUUGGUAUUAUUGCUAUUUUCCUAUAAUUAUGUUGUCUCCAAUCAUGGUUCAAAAUUGAUAGUACCUACUUAAAAACUUUACUUUACUUUACUUUACCUACUUUAAUCAUUUGAGGAUCGCUAAAAGUAGGACAAUAGUGUGAUAAGUCAAAAAAUAACAAAGCAAGAGCAAUAUCGCUUCUUGAUGACCUCAUCGUCCCACGCGGCAAAAAAAAUAUUAAGGCUAUUCUGGGGAUGAUACAAAAGUGUUAUUGGCUAAAAAUUAUCAAGGCAAACGUGCAUUUAGUAAAUAUAAAAAUGUUUUAUGGACAAGUAAUGCCAUGUCAGAUACAUUGAUUAAUGAUUCCUUAUGAGAAACUUUAGCACUUUGACCAGCGUUGUACUCUUAUCAGCAACAGCGUGGAAUCGUCGUUCUCGUUAAAACAACAGAUGUUUUUUUUAAUGUUCUUAUUUUUUUUUUCAAAUACAAAAAAUGCAAAAUAUCCCUAAAACAGAUAAAAAAGAAAAUAACUGAUUUGUGUCUAAUUAAAAACAACGAAUAGCAGAACAAAUAGUCUUCUUCUUCUUUGCCUCAACAACCGAUGUCGGUCAAGGCCUGCCUGUACCCAUUUGUUGGCUUGGCUUAGUCAGUCCUACGUAUGGCGGCGCGGUCUAUUUGGGGAUUGAACCCAUGACGGGCAUGUUGUUAAGAACAAAUAGUAUAGCGGGAAAAAUGUAUGCAGCUA